GAGCCGCCAUUUUCAAACACUGAAGCCUUUCUCUGUUCAUCUCUCCAGUGAACACUUGAGGAAGUCCUCUCUGUGCCUAUCUAGCAGCGUUCUGCCUUCUAGGAGCGUGUGGAGAGGGUGGUGAGAUGUGGAGAAAGAAGAAAAAAGGAGGAACCAUACCUUGAGGAGGGAGAAGAAGGGAAAAGAGGAAACUAGCUGCCUCCCCCAAAGUUACCAGCAUCCGCUCUUCUGAGUAAACUGACGGAGAGCCCAUGGAGAGGCUGGGUUAGAAGCAUCCCAUUGUCCCCACUGAAAGUAGGACACAGUCAAAGGUUGCUGGAGGAAAAAGAGGUGGAGGCCUGCUUCUUUUCUAUUACCAUACUAGUUUGAUUUUUCUUUUUAAAGGAUUCUGGAAAAAAAAAUAUUCACAGUUGAAAACUUGGAAUUUAGGAAAAGGCAGUAACACAAAAACUCCUCUCGUUAGAAGUGACUUUGUGGAAAUGAAACAGGACAUUUCUAAACCAAGUGCUUCUCCGCUCACUCUUCCUAAUUGUUUAGCUUUUCACGAGGAGGUGAUUCUCUCUGGCUGACCAACAGCGAUGAGGGUCAGAGUCAUGGGCAAGAUCCUCUACCUGCUUCAGCUCAAGAAAAGCUAAACUGCGCCUCCUCCUUGAAUUAAGCCACUUUAAGCAUAAGGGACCGGCAGCCUCUUCCGAGGUGGCGAUUUUGUCAUAGUAAGCACUUGAGAAUCUGCCGCCAUUUUCCCACCCCUUACCCUGGCGAGCAAGUUUAUCUUUGCUGUGAAAUCAUAAGCAGCCCUUUGUAUUUCCCUUCCACGCCGCAUUGCAAAGAAAUAAAACCCAACUACCGUGCAUGU